rnacentral:rRNA from 1 species
UACGAAGGGGGCUAGCGUUGUUCGGAAUUACUGGGCGUAAAGGGCGCGUAGGCGGCGUGUCAAGUCAGGCGUGAAAGCCCCGGGCUCAACCUGGGAACCGCGCUUGAGACUGGCAUGCUCGAGUUCGGGAGAGGAUGGUGGAAUUCCCAGUGUAGAGGUGAAAUUCGUAGAUAUUGGGAAGAACACCGGUGGCGAAGGCGGCGACCUGGUCCGAUACUGACGCUGAGGCGCGAAAGCGUGGGGAGCAAACAGG